GCGCCCGUAGCUCAGUUGGAUAGAGCGGCGGUUUCCUAAACCGCAGGCCGUGGGUUCAAAUCCCGCCGGGCGCACCA
rnacentral:tRNA from 1 species